UGCNAGUCGAGCGGANGAGAAGAGCUUGCUCUUCGAUUCAGCGGCGGACGGGUGAGUAAUACCUAGGAAUCUGCCUGGUAGUGGGGGACAACGUUUCGAAAGGAACGCUAAUACCGCAUACGUCCUACGGGAGAAAGCAGGGGACCUUCGGGCCUUGCGCUAUCAGAUGAGCCUAGGUCGGAUUAGCUAGUUGGUGAGGUAAUGGCUCACCAAGGCUACGAUCCGUAACUGGUCUGAGAGGAUGAUCAGUCACACUGGAACUGAGACACGGUCCAGACUCCUACGGGAGGCAGCAGUGGGGAAUAUUGGACAAUGGGCGAAAGCCUGAUCCAGCCAUGCCGCGUGUGUGAAGAAGGUCUUCGGAUUGUAAAGCACUUUAAGUUGGGAGGAAGGGCAGUAAGCGAAUACCUUGCUGUUUGGACGUUACCGACAGAAUAAGCACCGGCUAACUCUGUGCCAGCAGCCGCGGUAAUACAGAGGGUGCAAGCGUUAAUCGGAAUUACUGGGCGUAAAGCGCGCGUAGGUGGUUCGUUAAGUUGGAUGUGAAAUCCCCGGGCUCAACCUGGGAACUGCAUCCAGAACUGGCGAGCUAGAGUAGGGCAGAGGGUGGUGGAAUUUCCUGUGUAGCGGUGAAAUGCGUAGAUAUAGGAAGGAACACCAGUGGCGAANGCGACCACCUGGGCUCAUACUGACACUGANGUGCGAAAGCGUGGGGAGCAAACNNNAUUAGAUACCCUGGUAGUCCACGCCGUAAACGAUGUCAACUAGCCGUUGGAAUCCUUGANAUUUUAGUGGCGCA
rnacentral:rRNA from 1 species